UGCCAGCCGCCGCGGUAAUACGGAGGGUCCGAGCGUUGUCCGGAAUUAUUGGGUUUAAAGGGUACGUAGGCGGAUUAAUAAGUCAGAGCUGAAAUCCUACAGCUUAACUGUAGAACUGGCUUUGAAACUGUUAAUCUUGAGUAUGGUAGAGAUAGGCGGAAUUUAUAAUGUAGCGGUGAAAUGCAUAGAUAUUAUAAAGAACACCGAUAGCGAAGGCAGCUUGUUGGACCAUAACUGACGCUAAUGUACGAAAGUGUGGGUAGCGAACAGGAUUAGAUA
rnacentral:rRNA from 1 species